CGAGUGUUAUCUAAUUUCCACGACAACUUGACGUCUCCUGGCUGGACUGCGCGAGUCUUUCUGCUUUUCUGGACAACAGUAGCCUCACAACUGACUGAUGAUGGUCGGCUCCACGGCCAGCAGUAAGAACGGCAUGACGGUGUAACAGAUGGUCAACUGCGUCGCCGCCCAGGUGAUGACAUCAUACGCCAGCUUGACGGCACGCGUGCGCAAGAAAUGGUGGCGGAAAUUCCUGCGGACCUGCCGACCACGACACACAGGAGAGUGUAGAAGUCGUCGAAAAAGGGAAACAACAGACACGCAGACAGUGUGUGUGUGUGUGUGUGUGUGUGUGUGGACUCACAGCACGGGCGGUGAGUGUGAUGGGGAUGCCUGUGAGGAAGGUGAAGUAAUAUCCAG